rnacentral:rRNA from 1 species
UAUGCUUAAUACAUGCAAGUCGUACGAGAGCUUUUAGCUCUAGUGGCGGACGGGUGAGUAACACGUGAGAAUCUGCCCUUAGGAGGAGGAUAACAGCUGGAAACGGUUGCUAAUACUCCAUAUGCCGAGAGGUGAAAGGAUUUAUCCACCUAAGGAGGAGCUCGCGUCUGAUUAGCUAGUUGGUAGGGUAAUAGCCUACCAAGGCGACGAUCAGUAGCUGGUUUGAGAGGAUGAUCAGCCACACUGGGACUGAGACACGGCCCAGACUCCUACGGGAGGCAGCAGUAGGGAAUUUUCCGCAAUGGGCGAAAGCCUGACGGAGCAAUACCGCGUGAGGGAUGACGGCCUGUGGGUUGUAAACCUCUUUUCUCAAGGAAGAAGUUCUGACGGUACUUGAGGAAUAAGCAUCGGCUAACUCUGUGCCAGCAGCCGCGGUAAUACAGAGGAUGCAAGCGUUAUCCGGAAUCACUGGGCAUAAAGCGUCUGUAGGUGGUUUGGUAAGUCUGCUGUUAAAGACUGGGGCUCAACCCCAGAAAAGCAGUGGAAACUGCUAGACUUGAGUGUGGUAGAGGUAGAGGGAAUUCCUAGUGUAGCGGUGAAAUGCGUAGAUAUUAGGAAGAACACCAAUGGCGAAGGCACUCUACUGGGCCAUAACUGACACUGAGAGACGACAGCUAGGGGAGCAAAUGGGAUUAGAUACCCCAGUAGUCCUAGCCGUAAACGAUGGAUACUAGAUGUUGCACGUAUUAACCCGUGCAGUAUCGUAGCUAAGGCGUUAAGUAUCCCGCCUGGGAAGUACGCUCGCAAGAGUGAAACUCAAAGAUCGGAAGAGCGUCGUGUAGGGAAAGAGUGUAGAUCUCGG